rnacentral:misc_RNA from 1 species
UUUCUUUACAAAGAGAAAUCCUACCGCCUCAUGUUCUUGAUCCUCUUUAUUACGUUUCCAUCAACCUGCACCCAAGUGAUGCAAAUGCUACCUGCAGCCUGCCACAAGAUUUGUUCACACGAUGAUCAGAAUUGCAACUCUUAUCUAAAAGGAGACUAUUCGGUGAAGUGUAGCACAUCAAAGCACGAUGUAUAUGGCUCUUUAAGUACAGCAUCCAUUUGCUACUGCAUUGGCUUUCCAUUGCUCCUCUUCUUGAUCAUGAAACACGGCCAAAGAAAUCAAAAGCUUAUUGCACCAUCGUCACCCAACAACACCGUUAUGUUCAAUUCAAUAAGAUUUCUCUAUGAAAACUACUCUCCAAGCUGUUGGUUUUGGGAAAUUCUAGAGCUGGUACGAAAAGUGUUCUUUACUUCCAUGCUGGUAUUGAUGGACUCNGAAAGUCGGUUAAGCUUGGGUCUAAACGCUAUCUUAUCAGGACUGUACUCUGUCUUAUUCGCCCUCUGGAAGCCCGUUGAAGAUACCUUUGAGUACUGGCUGCAGUUAGUAUCUCUGCUUGUAACGUCAGUCAACUUCUCAGUUGGGAUGUUGUUGAAGAUACCNGAAGAUGAGGACUCUUCAAGUGUGAGUGGAAAGUUCGACUCUCUUGUAAUAACGAUUCUGUUGGUUGCUGCCAAUGUUGCAGUGGUUGUCAUAAUCGCAGUGAAUUACAUAACAACCCUUGUGAAUACCUUGAUACAGUUGAAGAAAGAGCCACAAUGUAACAUCACAUGCUGCCUUGAGGUGUUCCAGUUGGUGAGCGAUGCACACGGAGAUGUGUCAGGAAUAUGUACAGAGCCCAAAAUGGCAUCAGGACUGAUUGGUAGCAACGAGCAACAAGGUAUAAGUAACAUACCAGAAGAUGCAGCAUUUGAANUCCAGGAAUGGGAUGGUGACACCAACGAAGACAGGANCANCAAGGUAUAAGUAAAAUACCAGAAGAUGCAGCAUCUGAGCUUCAGGGAAGAGAUGGUGACACCAACGAAGACGAGAAUAAUGGAUCUGACUGAUUUGCAUGUUCGUGUGCUAUCAAAAAUCUUAAAACUGCAUGCAUUAUAUACUUUGAAAAUGUNUAUUCCAUUUAUUACAAGUUAGUGUACAAUGUAUACAGACUUAAAAGAGCGAAACUAGAAUAU